CUUGCGAAACAGAUUAGGCCAGAGUGUGGGGUUUGAGAAGUAAUUGAGAGAAGUGAACAAUUCUUCCUUAGUUGUUAAUUUUUGCCGAAUCUAAAGGCACAACCUAGAUUCGAGCUAAUGUCUUAAGUAGUUGAACAUGUUAUUACUCCACCCUCGUUAGUGACAAAUUGACUCAUUUUAAUUUUUGUCAAAAAACAACUUUAUAUCUAAGGCGCGAGACGACCGUUAGACCCGAUGAGGUGUUUCUACGCUUGAGUUUAGCCAGCGAACGUCGCCAUAACAUCGGGGAUUUCCAUUGGAGAAGCAGUUUUAGCCUUCAUGCUGUUCUGUCUUUGAUAAUAUCCUUUAUAUUUAUUUUACACAGUUGUAUUUAUUUUACUACGUCUCUGUAUUUGUUGUUAAUGUUUUGGUGUCAAACUGGUGGUAGUUGUGAAGAAAAGUCGAUAGUUGGAAGAGUUGCAGAGUUAUUAGAAAAUAAUGCUCACAUGCUUUUUUCAUUAAUUAGGCUAUUUUCUCUCGAACUAUACAGUCUAUCUAUUAGAAACUCAUGGACAAUAUGAACACAGACAUAAAACAUGUAUACUAUUUAUGAAUACAUUUUUUGAAAGUUAUUCCAGUAUAAACGACCAAAUUAAGGAUAGAUUGCCAUAGAUGGAAUUGCCAACAUUACUGUAUAUUCUGGUAACUUUGGUAAUUUACCGGAAGCUUUGCAACCCUACCUUUUUAGUAUAUUACAAAUGACUUUUAUCCACUAGGAACUCAGCUGCACCCACAGUAGGAGUUGUCUUAAGGCUACUAUUACUAGUCUAUUGAAAUAUGCUAUGUUACGAUGUGUUUGCUAUUUAACAUUAUUACUACAUAUGAAAGCCAGUGUUUUAGAUUUGUAUUGGCACCUCUCUGUGGAUAUUAUUAAUAAGCAUUACAUUUAAAACAGAGGCAAUAACACUACAGUGGGUUAUAGUAGCAGGAGUGGUGGUGCGUGUAUUUGCUUUGUAGUACCCUCCUUCUCAUUAAAAACAGUAUUUUAGACAUAGAGGUGAGGCUAGGGAGUCCUUUUUGAUCUGCUUUGCAUAAUCCAAUUCAAUCCAUCCUGUGUGGGGGAAAAAAUCUAUUAACUCUCCUUAAUUGGCCUGACAUUGCGCACAUAACUGUAACACUAAUCAAUACUGAAAUAAGAAAUGAAGCCAAAGACCAUCUCAUUGUAUUGAUUUUUGGAGAGGAGGUUUAAAUAUUGCAGUGUAGGAUAUAUGAGCCAGAGGUCCAUAAUGUGCACUGCACACUGUCUCCUUCUGUGAGAGCCUUGAAGUGGAGCCGACAAGGGCAAUUAGAAGGAAGGUGAUCCUAUCUGUAAACAACAACACUAUGAGGAAGGGAGAGAUGAGACCUUGAUCUCAUUAAUAACACGAUGAUAAAGGAGGGGUAAAGUGCUUUCGUUGAAAGGCUUAACAGAGAUGAAGCACAUUCAUUAUAGUAAAUGGCUUUGUUUCUUAUUAAAGUAGUUGCACAGACAUAUGAUGGUGAACUAUGGGGUCAAAAGACUCCCCUUGCCCCAGUAGUAGCUCUGUGACAGAAGAUUGCAUCUCACCAUAACCUCCCUCAGCCUUCCCCUUCACGUCCAUCCUCUCUUUCUCUUUUCUCCUCCACUCUUCUCUGUGCCUGCAUGAUGUGUGUGCUGUCAAGGAGAGAGAGAGUGAGGUCUGUGGAGGUUCUGGCCCUCAGACAGGGCCGUCUGCUGCAGCCCCACGGCCAGCCAAGCCGCCAAGCAGGAAGUAGAGCUGGGGCUGCUCUCCUCUCCCAGGUCCUGCCUCGUAGAAAUGGCCACCUGUUCAAGGGGCUCUCCCUCCUCUCUCCCUCUCCCCCUGGCCAGGACCAGCUGUGCUAGAGACACACCCCCCCCCGCUCUGCCCGCCCAGCAGAGGACACAAGUUGGGACAACAUGCCCCCUAUGCCUGGCAGAUAGACAGAGACAGACGGACAGAGACAAACGGACGGACAGAGACGGACGGACAGAGAGAGACAGACGGACAGAGACAUACGAACAGAGACAAACAGACAGAGACAGACGAACAGAGACAGACGGACAGAGACAGACGGACAGAGACAGACGGACAGAGACAGACGAACAGAGACAGACGGACAGAGACAGACGGACAGAGACAGACGAACAGAGACAGACGGACAGAGACAGACGAACAGAGACAGACGGACAGAGACAGACGGACAGAGACAGACGAACAGAGACAGACGGACAGAGACAGACGGACAGAGACAGACGGACAGAGACAGACGAACAGAGACAGACGGACAGAGACAGACGGACAGAGACAGACGGAUGAGACAGACGGACAGAGACAGACGGACAGAGACAGACGAACAGAGACAGACGGACGGACAGAGACAGACAAGCGGACGGACGGACAGACAGAUGGGUGGACAGACAGAUGGGCGGACGGACAGACAGACAGACAGAGGCCGGCAGGCGGGCAAAUCAAGGCACACUAUGUACCCAGCAAUGAGGUUGUCUCUUGUAGACAAAGGUUACAUCUUAAUGGGCUGUAGUAUGAGCAUAGGUUUCAUAAACAUUUUGAGAUCAUGAUACUUAGUGUGAUACACAAUACUGAGGAACAGGGGGAGGGGAAGAUAAACAGCAGACAGUAGAGUUAUACAGUUCCUAUAAUAUACAGUUCCUGAGGUUCAUCUCACAUAUGCCUAUGUGUUUCUCUUUUCCUCUCCACGGGAACACUCUGGCAUCAAGCCGGGGAACGAUGGCCGACAGAUGGCCGUGUUUUGGCAGGUGAUACUGCACAUGUGCAGCACACUCUGCAUGGCAACAAUGCCACUUCAGCAGAUAGCGGUGUCCCCUGUCCUGAAGGAAGUUCACACCGUCUGUCUGGUGCCACCUGCUGAGGUGACGGAUGGGUGUGAAGGGCAAAACAUCUGGACUGAGGAUGUGCGGCCUCCUGGCUGCUGAUGCUGCUGCUGCUGCCCAGCUGUGUGUGGCCUGCCUGGGCCAGCCUGGCCUCUGAUUACUGGCCAUCUGCAGCAGCAGGAGCCACCCUGAGGACAGACAGAUCUCUAACCCCUGCCUAAAGGCCAGCUCAUCUCUGUGGCUGAGUAUAGUCUCAGACCGACCGCGGUGCUGCAUGGUGACCGACCGAGGUGCUGCAUGGUGACCGACCGCGGUGCUGCAUGGUGACCGACCGAGGUGCUGCAUGGUGACCGACCGAGGUGCUGCAUGGUGACCGACCGCGGUGCUGCAUGGUGACCGACCGAGGUGCUGCAUGGUGACCGACCGCGGUGCUGCAUGGUGACCGACUGCGGUGCUACAUGGUGACCGACCGCGGUGCUGCAUGGUGACCGACCGCGGUGCUGCAUGGUGACCGACUGCGGUGCUGCAUGGUGACCGACCACGGUGCUGCAUGGUGACCGACCACGGUGCUGCAUGGUCCAACGGUAGCAGACCUCCUCAGAGGAGCGGUCUACAGUGUGAGCGCAUGCAGUGCAGGAUCAGCGAGCACCAGGAGGUCGACGUGUGAUGUGUGAGAUUUAUUGGUGUGCCCACCAUCCACCCUUAAUAAUGUUUUAUAGCCAUUCUCUGGUUUGGCGGUCAUGGGUAAUCUACUACCAUAGACUGUCGUCAUAACCGGGGGAAGCUGACUGGUUGGAAAGCGAGAAAGAGAAAUUACAUCAUGGAACAGGACUGGUUGGAAAGCAACACACUGUCAUGUGUUUCUCUGAAGAUCACACGUUUAUCAAAGCCCAUUGAAACGGAGAGCACCGUAUGGGCUAUAAUAGUCUAUAGUGUGGUGUAGUGGGUCGCUAUUUAAAGCCUUGUUGUAAUUCCUAAUUGUGUUAUGUUGUAAAAUGUCUUCAUGCUGAAGCCAUCAAACUAAGGCCCCUCCCCUACCCUCUCCCCCCAUCCAGUAAGUCCCCUGCCCUCUCCCUCCAUCCAGUAAGUCCCCUGCCCUCUCCCUCCAUCCAGUAAGUCCCCUGCCCUCUCCCCCCAUCCAGUAAGUCCCCUACCCUCUCCCUCCAUCCAGUAAGUCCCCUGCCCUCUCCCUCCAUCCAGUAAGUCCCCUACCCUCUCCCCCCAUCCAGUAAGUCCCCUACCCUCUCCCCCCAUCCAGUAAGUCCCCUACCCUCUCCCCCCAUCCAGUAAG